AGAAAAACUAGGUAAGCAAAACGCUAAAAGCUUUUUUUUUUUUAAACCAACAAAACAACAACAGUGAAUGAAUUGUGCAAGAUAUGAAAACAGAAAACAGGGAUGUUAUCAAAAUUGUAUAGUACUAAUCAGAAUGAAAAGUUAAGCUGAGGCAAUGAAAUUAUAGAUACCAGAUUUUUAUAUGCAUUAAAUUAUAUCUAUAUAAAUUAUAUAUAUUUACAUGUAUGUAAUUUAUGUCUGAUUUGUCAGAUGUGAACUACUGUAGGAAGGAGUCAUCAGUACUACUGGUCAAGCUGGGUGUUAAUGUGAAGAAUGAUAAAUAGACACAUAAACUAUAUGUUAUAAUAAACUCCAGACAAGUUAAAGACAUAUUGAUAGAAUUCAUGGAUGAAGAAUCCAAGGACAUAAAGGACUAGACUGUCUAUGAUUCUUCUGGGCAAUAAAAACCACUAUAACUCAAGUGAAAAGAAAAGCAACUAACAGAUAAAAGUAAUAACUGAGCUGAAACCCCGAUGCCACAGGCUUGGCAUAGUUCCAGUGAGGCCCGGAAGCGUGACACACCUGGGAUCCUUCCAAGAAGCAUGGGGUCUGUGCCUGAUAGUGUCUCUUUGCUGCUGGGGGCUGCUCAGGCUGACUGUCUUGGAGCUUGCAGCCCUCCUGUGUUGCCCAGCCUGUUCUUACUCUUGGACCAUCUUCCCUGCUGCUGUGACUAUGGAAACAAGCGACGCACACCAGCUGCCCUUCCAAAUUAUGAUUGUGCUAUGCUGGGAGGAGAAGGAGAGAGAAAUGACAAUUUUCUGGAGACUAGGAAAACUGACAUCACAGAGAUGAUGGGGGAGGGUGCUGCAAUGUGUCAGGCGCUGGCAUCUCACCCAGGGACAGGGAGAGAAAGGACAAUGGCCAGGCAAACAGGUAUGCAAAACUUUGUUUUGCUUCCCCAACCAGCAGCCAAUUCUGUCUCUUCAAGUACUAAUUUAUCAAGUAUUUCCUAA
rnacentral:lncRNA from 1 species